ensembl:lncRNA
AAAGAGGAAAUAGGGUGGGGCCAGCAGCUCAGCUCUGGUUUUGAGUUCCCAGUCUGAGACACAAAAUAUUUUGCAACUGAGCGGAUUACUCUCUUCAGCAAGGCUUACAAAGAAGAUGGAACUCGGAUCCUGGAUAUCCCUAUCUGUGAACAUGUUCGGUGCGUCUGUGAAUCUGACGUGUGGUGGGACCAUGGCGUGUCUCAUCGGGGCUGUGCUGGUGGUCACUCUMGUUUUUGGCUUCACCUAUUGUGCCAUAAAGCAGGCGAAGACAAAGGAGCUGAUUAAAAUAAAUUGAUAGAAAUCCUGUCCAGGCACCGGUGGAAGGAUAGCACCCCAUCUCUGGAAUGUGGUGUAGUGACGUGCUAUUUUACACUUUUCAAAUUUUAAGAGUGAACAAUGUAAACUUUAAAUGAUUAAACAUGAUUGAGCUCCA